UACAGAGGGUGCAAGCGUUAAUCGGAAUUACUGGGCGUAAAGCGUGCGUAGUCGGCCAUUCAAGUCGGGUGUGAAAGCCCCGGGCUCAACCUGGGAAUUGCAUUCGAUACUGUGUGGCUAGAGUUCGGCAGAGGGAAGUGGAAUUUCUGGUGUAGCGGUGAAAUGCGUAGAUAUCAGGAGGAACACCGGUGGCGAAGGCGGGUCUCUGGGCCGAUACUGACGCUGAGGAGCGAAAGCGUGGGGAGCGAACAGG
rnacentral:rRNA from 1 species